AUUGAACGCUGGCGGCAUGCCUUACACAUGCAAGUCGAACGGCAGCGCGGGGGCAACCUGGCGGCGAGUGGCGAACGGGUGAGUAAUAUAUCGGAACGUGCCCUGGAGUGGGGGAUAACGUAGCGAAAGUUACGCUAAUACCGCAUACGAUCUGAGGAUGAAAGCAGGGGACCUUCGGGCCUUGUGCUCCUGGAGCGGCCGAUAUCUGAUUAGCUAGUUGGUGGGGUAAAAGCCUACCAAGGCGACGAUCAGUAGCUGGUCUGAGAGGACGACCAGCCACACUGGAACUGAGACACGGUCCAGACUCCUACGGGAGGCAGCAGUGGGGAAUUUUGGACAAUAGGGGGCGAACCCUCGAUCCAGCAAUAGCCGCGUGUGUGAAG
rnacentral:rRNA from 1 species